UACGUAGGGUGCAAGCGUUGUCCGGAAUUAUUGGGCGUAAAGAGCGCGCAGGCGGUCGUUCAAGUCGCGUGUGAAAGCCCCCCGGCUCAACUGGGGAGGGUCACGCGAUACUGAUCGACUCGAAGGCAGGAGAGGGUAGUGGAAUUCCCGGUGUAGUGGUGAAAUGCGUAGAUAUCGGGAGGAACACCAGUGGCGAAGGCGACUACCUGGCCUGUUUCUUGACGCUGAGGCGCGAAAGCUAGGGGAGCAAACGGG
rnacentral:rRNA from 1 species